rnacentral:rRNA from 1 species
CCACACCGCCCGUCACAACCAUGGGAGUCGAUUGCUCCAGAAGUGGCUAGCGCCAACCCGUAAGGGAGGCACGGUACCCCGAAAGGAGGUCGAUCGGUAACUGGGGUG